UAGAAUAUUUGGAGAUUUGGAAAAUUGAGGUCAGAUCAGAAGGACUUCUCGGAAAGCUGGACCUCAUGGCACUCACCGAUCAUUCUGAUAUCCAGAGAAGCCGAGCUUUCAUAGCACCUUCCAAUACUCGAGCUAUCUACCAGGGAGGACACUUCCAGGUCAGUGCCAACUGGAUUUCUUCAACUCCUGGACUGAAGUGUGUGGUGACUUCAGCAAUAGACUGUGAGAAGCAUUGAUUUAAGAGAUG
rnacentral:lncRNA from 1 species